rnacentral:misc_RNA from 1 species
AUGAGAUCAUGCCCCUCGGGGUAGACCUCCCACCCUCUGUUUACAAUACCUUUGUUGCUUUGGCGGCCCCGUCGCAAGACAACCGGCCCCGGCUGGUCAGCGGCCGCCAGAGGACUCAAAACUCAUAUCAUCAACGUCGUCUGAGUACUAUACAAUAGUUA